rnacentral:rRNA from 1 species
UACAGAGGGUGCGAGCGUUGUCCGGAAUCACUGGGCGUAAAGGGCGCGUAGGCGGCUUGAUAAGCGUGCGGUGAAAGCCCGGGGCUCAACCCCGGGUCGGCCGUGCGAACUGUCGAGCUGGAGCACUGUAGAGGCAGGUGGAAUUCCGGGUGUAGCGGUGAAAUGCGUAGAGAUCGGGAGGAACAUCAGUGGCGAAGGCGGCCAUCUGGGACAACACUGACGCUGAAGCACGAAAGCGUGGGGAGCAAACAGG